rnacentral:rRNA from 1 species
GGUUGAUCCCGCCGGACCUGACUGCUAUCGGAUUGAUACUAAGCCAUGCAAGUCAUUGUAGCAAUACAAGGCGGACGGCUCAGUAACACGUAGUCAACCUAACCUAUGGACGUGGAUAACCUCGGGAAACUGAGAAUAAACCACGAUAGAUCAUGAUGCCUGGAAUGGCUUAUGGUUCAAACAAUUUAUUGCCGUAGGAUGGGACUGCGGCCUAUCAGCUUGUUGGUGAGGUAAUGGCCCACCAAGGCUAUAACAGGUACGGGCUCUGAGAGGAGAAGCCCGGAGAUGGGUACUGAGACACGGACCCAGGCCCUAUGGGGCGCAGCAGGCGAGAAACCUUAGCAAUGUGCGAAAGCACGACUAGGUUAAUCCGAGUGGUUCCUGCUAAAGGAACCUUUUGUCAGUCGUAAAACCACAGACGAAUAAGGGGUGGGCAAGUCUGGUGUCAGCCGCCGCGGUAAUACCAGCACCUCGAGUGGUCAGGAGGUUCAUUGGGCCUAAAGCAUCCGUAGCCGGCUAUGCAAGUCUCCGGUUAAAUCCAACUGCUCAACAGAUGGGCUGCCGGAGAUACUACACAGCUAGGGAGCGGGAGAGGUAGACGGUAUUCUGUGGGUAGGGGUAAAAUCCACUGAUCCAUAGAGGACCACCAGUGGCGAAGGCGGUCUACCAGAACGCGUUCGACGGUGAGGGAUGAAAGCUGGGGGAGCAAACCGGAUUAGAUACCCGGGUAGUCCCAGCUGUAAACGAUGCAAACUCGGUGAUGCAUUGACUUAUGGUCAAUGCAGUGCCGCAGGGAAGCCGUUAAGUUUGCCGCCUGGGAAGUACGGACGCAAGUCUGAAACUUAAAGGAAUUGGCGGGGGAGCACCACAAGGGUGAAGCCUGCGGUUCAAUUGGAGUCAACGCCGG